UAACUGCCACAGUCGUUCUUGCCUUCUACUGACUGCAGCUGAACAGCGUCACCGUGAAGCGCUCCAAGCAAGAACAAACCAUUUCAUGCAGAUCCAGGGGCGGCGGUUCAGGGCAAAAACGGAUGUGUGUUUUUUUAGUCUG